rnacentral:rRNA from 1 species
GAUGAACGCUGGCGGCGUGCCUAAUACAUGCAAGUAGAACGCUGAAGCUUGGUGCUUGCACCGAGCGGAUGAGUUGCGAACGGGUGAGUAACGCGUAGGUAACCUGCCUGGUAGCGGGGGAUAACUAUUGGAAACGAUAGCUAAUACCGCAUAACAGUCGACAUUGCAUGAUGUUGAUUUGAAAGGGGCAAUUGCUCCACUACCAGAUGGACCUGCGUUGUAUUAGCUAGUUGGUGAGGUAACGGCUCACCAAGGCGACGAUACAUAGCCGACCUGAGAGGGUGAUCGGCCACACUGGGACUGAGACACGGCCCAGACUCCUACGGGAGGCAGCAGUAGGGAAUCUUCGGCAAUGGGGGCAACCCUGACCGAGCAACGCCGCGUGAGUGAAGAAGGUUUUCGGAUCGUAAAGCUCUGUUGUAAGAGAAGAACGAGU